AGAAAUGGUUUAUUUGAAUUACAUUGCUGGCAUUGUGUCCAUAAGCGGUUCAGGUGUUAUUAUCCCCAGUGACAUGCUUACUACAUUCCCAUACACAGAAUGACUUUCAGCCUAAGAAACAUUUGUAAGGCUAUUCCUACCAAAACCAAAAUGACAAUUGUUUUAUACUGGUCCAGUUUUUCAUCUUUAUUUUGUUCUUCAAGUCACCUGAGAAAUAUUUCUAUGUUAACAGAAGAUACCAUUUCAGUUUACAUCUUAAACUAUACUUUGUCCCCAGAUGAUGUUACAAAAUGAAUUGCAUUCAGGCAGAAGCUUCUCAAGCACAACUGCUCCAUUUAAUAGUAGCAUAUAAGCAUUCAGCUCCCAAUCCCUGGAGCUCUCCCUUUGUGAGCAGUUAUAGUGUCAGACCUAAACUGGCAAGGUGGUUUAGAGAAUCCAGUUUUUCUGAGUCAGUCAACUUAUAUCGUGAAAUAUACAACCCUUUUUUUUUUUUUUCUCUCUGUUUUAAACUAGGCAACCAAGAAACGGAAAGAAAUCAGAAGUCUUUUGUCAGCUUCUGAGCUUCAGAAAAGAGAAGAUGAGCUACAGGGACAGCAGAAGGAAGCACUUUCUCUGUGACAGAAUAAGGAUGAUCUUCAUAUUGAGCUCUAGCCUCAAGAAAUUAGAUUUAGUGGCUCUAAGCUGACUUGUGCAAAAUGGAAUCUGAGAUAAAAAA